rnacentral:rRNA from 1 species
UACGUAGGGGGCGAGCGUUAUCCGGAAUUACUGGGCGUAAAGCGCACGAAGGCGGUUCGCCAAGUUUGGAGUGACAGUUGUCGGCUCAACCGACAAAGGACUUCAAAAACUGGUGAACUUGAGGACGAGAGAGGAACAUGGAACUCCAGGUGUAGUAGUGAAAUGCGUAGAUAUCUGGAAGAACACCAAUGGCGAAGGCAAUGUUCUGGCUCGUUUCUGACGCUCAGGUGCGAAAGCCAGGGGAGCGAACGGG